UAGGGAAUCUUCGGCAAUGGACGAAAGUCUGACCGAGCAACGCCGCGUGAGUGAAGAAGGUUUUCGGAUCGUAAAACUCUGUUGUUAGAGAAGAACAAGGACGUUAGUAACUGAACGUCCCCUGACGGUAUCUAACCAGAAAGCCACGGCUAACUACGUGCCAGCAGCCGCGGUAAUACGUAGGUGGCAAGCGUUGUCCGGAUUUAUUGGGCGUAAAGAGAGCGCAGGCGGUUUCUUAAGUCUGAUGUGAAAGCCCCCGGCUCAACCGGGGAGGGUCAUUGGAAGCUGGGAGACUUGAGUGCAGAAGAGGAGAGUGGAAUUCCAUGUGUAGCGGUGAAAUGCGUAGAUAUAUGGAGGAACACCAGUGGCGAAGGCGGCUCUCUGGUCUGUAACUGACGCUGAGGCUCGAAAGCGUGGGGAGCAAACAGG
rnacentral:rRNA from 1 species